UACGAAGGGGGCUAGCGUUGCUCGGAUUGACUGGGCGUAAAGCGCACGUAGGCGGAUCGAUCAGCCAGGGGUGAAAUCCCAGAGCUCAACUCUGGAACUGCCUUUGAUACUGUCGAUCUGGAGUAUGGAAGAGGUAAGUGGAAUUCCGAGUGUAGAGGUGAAAUUCGUAGAUAUUCGGAGGAACACCAGUGGCGAAGGCGGCUCGCUGGACCACAACUGACGCUGAGGCGCGAAAGCUAGGGGAGCAAACAGG
rnacentral:rRNA from 1 species